CUUCUUGUCUAUUUUUCUAUGAUUUCCCAUCUUUUUUUUUUCUUUUGUUCUGAAUUGAUGUUAAAGCAAAUGGGUUCUGGUUAUGAAUUUAGUUAUAAAUUUGGGAACUUACUUUAUCUGCAUAAAAACCAUAAGACCCACAUAAAAGAACAAUUUUGAAGUUCUUUUUCAUCUGUAGUGUCGGCUUUACGAUAUUUUUUGACUAUUCUUGUUCUUUCCUUUUUCAAUCGAAUUUAGAUACAAUAAAAUAAAAGCAGUUCUUUGAUGCUUCAACGUCACUAAGCACAUGCUUUUAAUCAAAUAAUCAAGAGGCUUACUUUGAAGUUCUGAAGAGAGAAAGAUAGAGGAGAGUUCUUGUGACUGGUUUAAGACAGCACAAGAAGACUGAAGAUAAUAUGUAGCAAAUGAUAUCCAUUGACGAUCAUCCACCACCAGAUCCUUCAUCAUCUGACUAUCAUAAUCAUCAUUAACAAGUUUAUCAUUAUCUCAAGAUCAAUAAUGGAAUUUCAGCAAAUGAGUAUGUAGAGAAAGAAUCAAAGAGAUCAUCUAAACUUUUUCUCUAUUCUACAAGAAGGGAUGAAGUUGCAAUGGAGUUUGAUAAUGGCGGCAAUGAAGCUACUACUAGGCUUAGUUCAGAAGAAUUUCAACAAAUGGGUUGUGUUUGUGGCAAACUUUUAGUGACAUCCCAUAAUUUAGGUCAGACUGUGAAAAUUUAAUUUACAAUAAAUCUCUUUGUAAUUUGACUCAUUUAGUUUUAGUGCAUCUAAUGUAAAAUAAAUGAGUUCAUUUCAAAUAUUAUAAGAUACCAGAUGAUAUUUUACUUCAAAAUGUGUAAACUGUC